AUUGGGGGCUGAGGACGGAGGUGGUUUUGUGGCCUUGGUAGAACGGCGUUAACCAUUGUGUGUUAAGCCUCUGGUCUUUAUAAUACGGCGAAGCUUCGAUGACGUCGUAGUACACUCCGAUUCGCUUGUUGGGGUUUCGGACAGUGAGGUUUAAUGCCAGAUCGUAAUGGAGUUGGUUGCCGGAGACGUUGAAGCGGGUGAGUUGGGCUCCGGUGACGUCGAACUUGAGCUUAUUGGGACGGAAUACGAGCCAAAAUACCAAGACAGCUACACCAAGGACGACGACUAUGGCGAUGAGGAACUUGAGAAAGGUGGUGAGAAGGCAGCAGGCGCAGCCUCGGCCGUGGCCGUGGCGAUGGUAGGUCUUUGCCGGAGGAGGGACGGCAGGGCCGUAAAAGGCGCCGUUGAGAUGGGGUUGUUUGUCAGCCAUAUAAUGUGUAUAUAUG
rnacentral:lncRNA from 1 species